AGCGAACGCUGGCGGCAGGCUUAACACAUGCAAGUCGAGCGGGCAUCCUUGUGGUGUCCGCGGCAGACGGGUGAGUAACGCGUGGGAACGUGCCCUUCGGUUCGGAAUAACUCAGGGAAACUUGAGCUAAUACCGGAUACGUGCGAGAGCAGAAAGGUUUAUCUGCCGAAGGAUCGGCCCGCGUCUGAUUAGCUAGUUGGUGAGGUUACGGCUCACCAAGGCGACGAUCAGUAGCUGGUCUGAGAGGAUGAUCAGCCACACUGGGACUGAGACACAGCCCAGACUCCUACGGGAAGCAGCAGUGGGGAAUAUUGGACAAUGGGGGCAACCCUGAUCCAGCCAUGCCGCGUGAGUGAUGACAGCCUUAGGGUUGUAAAGCUCUUUUCUCCGGGACGAUAAUGACGGUACCGGAGGAAUAAGCCCCGGCUAACUUCGUG
rnacentral:rRNA from 1 species